UACGGAGGGUGCAAGCGUUGUCCGGAAUCACUGGGCGUAAAGGGCGCGUAGGCGGCUCAUGAAGGCUGUGGUGAAAGCCCGGAGCUCAACUCCGGAACUGCCAUUGAAACUGUUUAGCUUGAGGAUGAGAGAGGUGAGUGGAAUUCCCAGUGUAGAGGUGAAAUUCGUAGAUAUUGGGAAGAACACCGGUGGCGAAGGCGGUCUGCUGGGCAGUAGCUGACACUGAGGCGCGACAGCGUGGGGAGCAAACAGG
rnacentral:rRNA from 1 species